AGAGUUUGAUCCUGGCUCAGGACGAACGCUGGCGGCGUGCCUAACACAUGCAAGUCGAGCGGGGUCCAACCAGUGGCAACACUGGGGACGACCUAGCGGCGAACGGGUGAGUAACACGUGAGGAACUUGCCCCGGAGUUCGGGAUAACCCGAGGAAACUCGAGCUAAUACCGAAUGCCCUCUACCGAUCGCAUGGUCGGUUGCGGAAAGAUUUAUCGCUCCGGGAGAGCCUCGCGGCCUAUCAGCUAGUUGGUGGGGUAACGGCCCACCAAGGCAUCGACGGGUAGCUGGUCUGAGAGGACGAUCAGCCACACUGGGACUGAGACACGGCCCAGACUCCUACGGGAGGCAGCAGUGGGGAAUCUUGCGCAAUGGGCGAAAGCCUGACGCAGCAACGCCGCGUGCGGGAUGAAGGCCUUCGGGUUGUAAACCGCUUUCAGCAGGGACGAUGAUGACGGUACCUGCAGAAGAAGCCCCGGCCAACUACGUGCCAGCAGCCGCGGUAACACGUAGGGGGCGAGCGUUGUCCGGAUUUA
rnacentral:rRNA from 1 species